rnacentral:tRNA from 1 species
GGGUAGGUGGCCGAGUGGCUAAAGGCGGCAGACUGUAAAUCUGUUCUCGAAAGGG